GCAAACUUGGUCAUUUAGAGGAAGUAAAAGUCGUAACAAGGUUUCCGUAGGUGAACCUGCGGAAGGAUCAUCAAUGAAAUCCUAUUGAAUUUUUUUUUAUAAAGAAAAUAAACACUUCUUUAUAAAAAGAAAUUCUCUUAUUAUUAUAUAAACGCCUUUAAUUGUGUGUGAAUUUAAUCAAUUAUCGUUAUUAUCCAAUAAUAAUGAUGAUAGUUGAUAAAUUUUUUUAUACAAAUUGGAUUUUUAUAAUCUAUAAAAAACAAACAACUUUUAACGAUGGAUCUCUUGGCUCUCGCAUCGAUGAAGAACGCAGC
rnacentral:misc_RNA from 1 species